rnacentral:rRNA from 1 species
UACGGAGGGUACGAACGUUAAUCGGAAUUACUGGGCGUAAAGCGCGCGUAGGUGGUUCGGUAAGUGGGAUGUGAAAGCCCCGGGCUCAACCCGGGAACUGCAUUCCAAACUGCCGGGCUAGAGUAUGGUAGAGGGAGGUAGAAUUUCCUGUGUAGCGGUGAAAUGCGUAGAUAUAGGAAGGAAUACCGGUGGCGAAGGCGGCCUCCUGGACCAAUACUGACACUGAGGUGCGAAAGCGUGGGGAGCAAACAGG